rnacentral:lncRNA from 1 species
GCCAUGGGGAAGCAGGAUAAAGGCCUGCCGAAAUACCCAAGCCCUGUCACUUGGGUCCCUAAGAGGUGGGCGUGAUUAUUUCCAUCUUGCAGAUGAGAAGAAUAAUGUCUGGGGUGAAGGUGAAGCAUCCAGCCCAAGACUCAGCAGCCAGGAAGUGGCCCAGCGCUCUUUAUACCACGGGUGCAGGAAUUCACACAGAAAAGUGGAGGCCAAGGCGUGAGAAUUCCUCAAUGCCUGCCCUCUAAAGGAAGAGGUCCAUUUCUGGGGAAUGGAGCUCAGCUCAUGUGCAUUUGGGAAACUCCUCCAGCGCUAUCAGAUUACUGGAGUCUGAGAGGAUGGUGACCAGCUAUCCGCCACCAGGAGGAUGCAAACCAGUUCCUGAGAACCUACUGAAUCCUCACAGCAGCCUGUGAGCAGUGUGAAAAUGAACUAAUACACCUGCCACAAGGGCUGCCCCUGAACCCCGAACCCCAAGUCCACUUUCUUGACAAGUAAGAAUGCUUCAACUUUUACCUCAAUGCUGCUGAUGAGGUCUUGUACACUGAUGAGGUCUUGUACUCUGAUGAAAGCCUGUGGGGAAGAAACAAUAAAAUCAGCUGCCUUCUUGGCUUCAAAAGUGGGUGAUUGGCUGGGGGUGGGAAGUCAAGCUCACCUAGACAGUGAGCCACAGAGGAGAGGAAGGGAGCAAGCACAAAUUAAUCAUCGUGCGUGCAGGUUAUACCACCCAGUGAGGCGCGGCUUUAUCCCCGAAAUUGGAUCAUGCAAAGAACAGCAAAGACAUCCCGGUUGCAUCAGUCAUUUUGGGAUCAGGACCAGGCUUCCUGUCAAGAGACUGAGGACCCAGGGAGAAACAUGUCUCGGCCCCUGUCCCCCUCCACAAUUCAGAGGCCACAUUCUAACAGGGAAAGCUGGUCAAUUAAACAGAUCAUGACACCUCCCAGAGCUAAGAGCUCUCCAACUACAAACCAGAUGCCUGGAGAACACGGAUGAAUGGUCUGAGCAUGAGCAGGGGUGGGAGGCAGCGUUAAGUGAGGCAUCAGAGUCAGAACCUGGCAAGCAAGUGUUUGUGAAGAGGAAUUCGUAGAAAAGGGCAAUGCGGGCAUCACAGGGCCAAGGAACACAGGGC